CGCCGCCUGACUGCCUUCCGGACGCGGGCUCGCGCCUCCCGGGCGCACCUCGGGGCCCGCGGGCCGAGUGUCGCUAGGACGUUUUCCGCAGGCCUAGCAGGCGGACCCCGCGGCUCGGAGCAAGCGGUGCAGGUGUUGAUAUAUAUACUAAUCCAGAACAACCAUGUAGCAAGAGGAAUAAAAUGAAGUUCAGAAGUCUGUUUCGGGAAAUUUUGAAGCCCUUUAGAAAGAAAGAUUUCUACAUUUUGUUACAUGAAAUUCAUGCAAAUAUAUGUCAGGUGCCAGUGCUAUGGAGUUGUUGAAGAAUAAGCACAAUACCAUUUAUUACCACUUCUCAGUUGUAAAGAGGCUGUAACUCUGGUUGUCGAAAUAAAAUAAAAUGAAAUCUCCUAGAUGUGACACUGUGACCCCUGCCAGUUAUUUACAAACAAGUUAUCUGCACAUUUUGGGCUGUAAACAUAAAAGUAAACUCUCUGAAAGACUGCAAAUCAUCUUUAGGGUUUUCUUAAAGUAAAUACAACUAGUGGCCCAGGAACCAAAAGUUUGCUUGUUUCCAGUUAAUGUCACUGGUCACCAUAACUCACCCUUUUUCCUAUGAGGAAAUGUACAGCAUAUUUUAAAGAAAUGCAGUAUUGUUAUCUUCGUCAUAUUACCUGAAGAAUUCUAAUAAAGGAAAAAUGUUUCGGAAGAUGGUGACUUG
ensembl:lncRNA ITGB8-AS1 ITGB8 antisense RNA 1